rnacentral:lncRNA from 1 species
UCAUUACCAUAUCAACAAAAUCAGAUUUUAUGAACUAAAAUAUUUUUUGGUAAUGAUUCUAAUCCAAAACAGGCCAAAAAACUCGCAAAAUUGUUGUCUGGUCAGGCAUCACGUCGAGCCCCAUACUGGACUCGACGAGUCCAAGGUAAACUUCAACCUACUCGUCAAGUACAAGAAUGGACUCGCCACGAAACUUAUGCGAAGGGUGAAGGAAUGCAUGAGCUUGUGCAUGGAAGUCUAAAUGCGGUAAGUGUGAACGGAAUCGCCACUCUCGCAAAGAAUGCACCCUAGAAGUAGAAUUGUGUCAUCAUUGUCAUCAGCUUGUCAUCAGCCUACUCAUAUCAUGGCAGAUUUCUAGCGUUUAGCGGUUGGGGUGGCUCAGGUUGAUUUGCGAGUGCUUCUACAGGGAGGGGGAGCAGAACCCUAAGACACUACGGGUAUGUAUCAUAUUCUUCUCUUUUACGCUUAAAUCAUUAUGCUAAUAAUUCCAUAACUUGAGGACAAGUUAUGGAUUUCACCAAAAUCAAUUAAUUCAAAAAUUCUGACUAAAAAGUCAAACAAUUUGCCUAUGAUCUAAUUUAAAUCAUAAGAUAAGAUAAUUCAUAUCAAACAAGUUUCUAGAAAUUAGCCUAACCAUAUAAACUAAUACAAUUCAUGAAACUUUGACAAUUAUCUUUUAUUUGGAUGAUAAUCAUCAUUACCAUAUCAAGAAAAUCAGAUUUUAUGAACUAAAAUAUUUUUUGGUAAUGAUUCUAAUCCAAAACAGGCCAAAAAACUCGAAAAACUGUUGUCUGGACAGGCAACUCGCCGAGCCCCAUACUGGACUCGACGAGUCCAAGGUAAACUUCAACCUACUCGUCAAGUACAAGAAUGGACUCGCCACGAAACUUAUGCGAAGGGUGAAGGAAUGCAUGAGCUUGUGCAUGGAAGUCUAAAUGCGGUAAGUGUGAACGGAAUCGCCACUCUCGCAAAGAAUGCACCCUAGAAGUAGAAUUGUGUCAUCAUUGUCAUCAGCUUUCAUCAGCCUACUCAUAUCAUGGCAGAUUUCUAGCGAUUAGUGGUUGGGGUGGCUCAGGUUGAAUUGCGAGUGCUUCUACAGGGAGGGGGAGCAGAACCCUACGACACUACAGGUAUGUAUCAUAUUCUUCUCUUUUUCGCUUAAAUCAUUAUGCUAAUAAUUCCAUAACUUGAGGACAAGUUAUGGAUUCCACCAAAAUCAAUUAGAUCAAAAAUUCUAACUAAAAAAUCAAACAAUUUGCCUAUGAUCUAAUUAAACUCAUAAGAUAAGAUAAUUCAUAUCAAACAAGUUUCAAGAAAUUAGCCUAACCAUAUAAACUAAUACAAAUCAUGAAACUUUGACAAUUAUCUUUUGUUUGGAUGAUAAUCAUCAUUACCAUAUCAACAAAAUCAGAUUUUAUGAAUUAAAAUAUUUUUCGGUAAUGAUUAUAAUCCAAAAGAGGCCAAAAAACACGCAAAAUUGUUGUCUGGUCAGGCAUCACGUCGAGCCCCAUACUGGACUCGACGAGUCCAAGGUCAACUUCAACUUACUCAUCAAGUACAAGAAUGGACUCGCCACGAAACUUAUGCGAAGGGUGAAGGAAUGCAUGAGCUUGUGCAUGGAAGUCUAAAUGCGGUAAGUGUGAACGGAAUCGCCACUCUCGCAAAGAAUGCACCCUAGAAGUAGAAUUGUGUCAUCAUUGUCAUCAGCUUGUCAUCAGCCUACUCAUAUCAUGGCAGAUUUCUAGCGUUUAGCGGUUGGGGUGGCUCAGGUUGAUUUGCGAGUGCUUCUACAGGGAGGGGGAGCAGAACCCUAAGACACUACGGGUAUGUAUCAUAUUCUUCUCUUUUACGCUUAAAUCAUUAUGCUAAUAAUUCCAUAACUUGAGGACAAGUUAUGGAUUUCACCAAAAUCAAUUAAUUCAAAAAUUCUGACUAAAAAGUCAAACAAUUUGCCUAUGAUCUAAUUUAAAUCAUAAGAUAAGAUAAUUCAUAUCAAACAAGUUUCUAGAAAUUAGCCUAACCAUAUAAACUAAUACAAUUCAUGAAACUUUGACAAUUAUCUUUUAUUUGGAUGAUAAUCAUCAUUACCAUAUCAAGAAAAUCAGAUUUUAUGAACUAAAAUAUUUUUUGGUAAUGAUUCUAAUCCAAAACAGGCCAAAAAACUCGAAAAACUGUUGUCUGGACAGGCAACUCGCCGAGCCCCAUACUGGACUCGACGAGUCCAAGGUAAACUUCAACCUACUCGUCAAGUACAAGAAUGGACUCGCCACGAAACUUAUGCGAAGG